CACACACACAGCACACUAACAGUACCCUCACAAACAGGACCCUAACAAACACACAAACAGCACCCUCACACAGUACAUUAACAGCACCCUCACAAGCGCACACACACACACAAACAGCACCCUCACACACAGUACAUUAACAGCACCCUCACAAGCGCGCACAAACACCCUCACCCACAUAGCACACUACCAGCACCGUCACACACACAUCACACUAACAGCACCC